rnacentral:rRNA from 1 species
UUUGAUCCUGGCUCAGGAUGAACGCUAGCGGCAGGCCUAACACAUGCAAGUCGAGGGGUAGAGUUAGCUUGCUAACUUGAGACCGGCGCACGGGUGCGUAACGCGUAUGCAAUCUACCUUAUACUGAGGGAUAGCCCGGAGAAAUCCGGAUUAAUACCUUAUAGUAUAUUAAAGUGGCAUCAUUUUGAUAUUAAAGAUUUAUUGGUAUAAGAUGAGCAUGCGUCCCAUUAGUUAGUUGGUGUGGUAACGGCACACCAAGACGAUGAUGGGUAGGGGUCCUGAGAGGGAGAUCCCCCACACUGGUACUGAGACACGGACCAGACUCCUACGGGAGGCAGCAGUGAGGAAUAUUGGUCAAUGGAGGCAACUCUGAACCAGCCAUGCCGCGUGCAGGAUGACGGUCCUAUGGAUUGUAAACUGCUUUUGUACAGGAAGAAAACAUACUACGUGUAGUAAAUUGACGGUACUGUAAGAAUAAGGAUCGGCUAACUCCGUG